ACUUCAGCUCCGGUGUCAGUGUUUUGAGUGCAAGAUGGGGAAGGUUUAACCCUUCCAGGAGCAGGCCCUGCAGCUCAGCUGCUGCAGCUCCCUGGGCUCCCAUGGCACCUGUUUGGGAUCAGGAUGGCAUGGCCAGACCUCCCAUCCCUGCUGGGGCACCCAGCUGGGUGCCAUUGUGGGAGCACCAGCCUCCAAAGGGAGCUUUGCCAUCUGGCUCUGCCAACUGCUGCUGCUGCAGUUCCCUCCACUCUGCCUGUCCUCUCCCAGGCUCUCACUCUUUAACCUUGGACAACGAGACAGUCAUCAUCUCCUCGCUGGCUCUACGGCUCCCUCAGAUAAGGACCUUAUUUUUUAAUCUUUCUUUCUAUUGAAUUUUAAACAUGUUCUGUUCCAAAGCCUGA